CCCCGGGUGUCCCGCGGCUCCGCUGCCUCCACGUUCCCGGCCGCUGCGCGGAGCCCUGGCCGGACACGGCACACUGGCUACAUGAAUAGAUUUGCCCAUCACGGGACCCACAGAAGGAGUCAGAAGGAGCAGAGGCAGAAAACAGAGAAGAGUUGAAGUGAGAAAGGCCGUGGGGAAAGGCUGCGUGGGAGCUGGGAUUGCUGCCGAGCUCUUCACAUAGAUCUGCAUUAAGAACACCUCAUCUCAGUGAAGUCUUUGUGGGGAAAGGUUUUGUUUUCCAGCUACAGGAUUCCUUAGCCUUCCAAGCUAUUCUCAUUUAUAGGGCAGUUCUGUGGCUGGUUGUGGAGAUGGGAAAGACAGAGGCUCAAACCUCUUCCUGGUGUUAAACUGGGAAUACCAGCAGGGCUAAUCUCGUCCUAGGGAAGCAAUGAGCACGAGGCAGAUCCCUAUUUUGCAGCUGUGCUAUUCCUGGUAGGAAUCUCACCCCAGAUCUGAGAUGAGAGCACAACAGUUUAUGCAAAACUUUCAGUCUGGUUUAUAUAGGAGGAUUUUGCUCUCCUUUAAAAAUCUUUUCAUGAAAACUCUUAGAAGAGUCUCGGGGUAUCAUGGAGUAGAAUUACUAUAUAUAUAUUUAUAUAUAUAUGUAUUUUAAUCACUGCUAUCUGCAUGGUGUGGGGAGAAUGCUGGUGAAUUCCCCAAUAGUUCUGUGUUUUUAUGUCCUCAUAAAGGAAAGGCGCCCAACUUGCUGGGCUGAACAUGGUAGCAGGCCAGGUUAGCCACAAACAAAUGGGUUCAGUUGGCUCUGCAUAACGGUCUUGUUUUCAUCACUACAUUGUAUCUCCAGCAUUGGCCUUGGAUGUUCUGUCCUUAGGAUACCAAGAAUCUGCAGAACUGUCUCCCACCCCCCAGCAUAAUCUCACUGAAUUAAGGCCUGAAACCUUAUUAUAGCUCAUAAGAUAAGAGGAUAGUUUACAAGAUGAGAGUAACCUUGAAAACAGGGGUUUCAAAAUCCACAAUGCAAGGGCCUGAGUUCUGAGCACUGAGAAAUCCAGCUGGGUUACUUCAUUUUCCGUUAUGAUGCUUAGCACUGUUAUCCACAUUCAUUGUCAUAUAGCAACUUCACUACAGUAGGGACCUAAGAAAACAGUAUUACCAAGAAAAAUGGGAAGGGCUGAAAGGAAAUAGUUUGCAUAUGUAUUUUUAUAUGUGAAUGACUCAAGAAAUAAAAUGUAAUAUUUAUAAUAAUAUCUGCAAGAUCUUGAGGCAGGAAUGGUAUCUCAGGAGCACACUUCU